CGACGGUGCCGAGUGGAAGGGCCGUCGCUCAACGGAUAAAAGUUACUCUAGGGAUAACAGGCUGAUCUUCCCCAAGAGUCCACAUCGACGGGAAGGUUUGGCACCUCGAUGUCGGCUCUUCGCCACCUGGAGCUGUAGGUGGUUCCAAGGGGCGGGCUGUUCGCCCAUUAAUGCGGGACGUGAGCUGGGUUCAGAACGUCGUGAG
rnacentral:ncRNA from 1 species